CGAUGUCUACUCGGAAUUUGGUGUCUUGAGCACUGGGUUCUCAAGCUAACGCAUUAAGUAGACCGCCUGGGGAGUACGGCCGCAAGGUUAAAACUCAAAUGAAUUGACGGGGGCCCGCACAAGCGGUGGAGCAUGUGGUUUAAUUCGAUGCAACGCGAAGAACCUUACCUACUCUUGACAUCCUCAGAAUUUAGUAGAGAUACUUUAGUGCCUUCGGGAACUGAGAGACAGGUGCUGCAUGGCUGUCGUCAGCUCGUGUUGUGAAAUGUUGGGUUAAGUCCCGCAACGAGCGCAACCCUUAUCCUUAUUUGCCAGCACGUAAUGGUGGGAACUUUAGGGAGACUGCCGGUGAUAAACCGGAGGAAGGUGGGGACGACGUCAAGUCAUCAUGGCCCUUACGAGUAGGGCUACACACGUGCUACAAUGGCGAGUACAGAGGGUUGCGAAGCCGCGAGGUGGAGCUAAUCUCAUAAAGCUCGUCGUAGUCCGGAUUGGAGUCUGCAACUCGACUCCAUGAAGUCGGAAUCGCUAGUAAUCGUGGAUCAGAAUGCCACGGUGAAUACGUUCCCGGGCCUUGUACACACCGCCCGUCACACCAUGGGAGUGGGCUGCACCAGAAGUAGAUAGCUUAACCCCAAUCUUCGGAAAGGGGAGGGC
rnacentral:rRNA from 1 species